UUUGCUUAGGUCUGUGGUUGAAAGUCGAUGCCAGUCGCAGGCGAAACGACCCACGUAAGAAGCCCAAAGCGGCUUUGAGCAUGGUGCGGCUUAGAGGUAAGUCCUGCCGGUCCGUAAAACAACAGUUACAUAUAUUUUGAUCGAGAGAAGCAGUAGUGAGGGGAUUGAGUUCCUAGUAGCGACCCUUCCUGCAGGCGAGUGUGGGGUCAAAGACCAGGUCGGCUAAGCAGU
rnacentral:ncRNA from 1 species